UGGGGGAUAUUGCACAAUGGGCGAAAGCCUGAUGCAGCGACGCCGCGUGGGGGAUGAAGGCCUUCGGGUUGUAAACUUCUUUUGCUCUGAACAAGGCGCACCAUGGGGUGUGUUGAGUGUAGGGGUUGAUUAGCGCCGGCUAACUACGUGCCAGCAGCCGCGGUAAUACGUAGGGCGCGAGCGUUGUCCGGAAUUAUUGGGCGUAAAGGGCUUGUAGGUGGCUGGUUGCGUCUGUCGUGAAAGCUAAUGGCUUAACUGUGGGUUUGCGGUGGGGACGGGCUGGCUUGAGUGCAGUAGGGGAGGCUGGAAGUCCUGGUGUAGCGGUGGAAUGCGCAGAUAUCAGGAGGAGUACCGGGAGCGAAGACGGGGCUCUGGGCUGUUACUGACACUGAGGAGCGAAAGCAUGGGGAGCGAACAGG
rnacentral:rRNA from 1 species